rnacentral:rRNA from 1 species
AGUGAACGCUGGCGGUAGGCCUAACACAUGCAAGUCGAACGGCAGCACAGUAAGAGCUUGCUCUUACGGGUGGCGAGUGGCGGACGGGUGAGGAAUACAUCGGAAUCUACUUUUUCGUGGGGGAUAACGUAGGGAAACUUACGCUAAUACCGCAUACGACCUACGGGUGAAAGCAGGGGAUCUUCGGACCUUGCGCGAUUGAAUGAGCCGAUGUCGGAUUAGCUAGUUGGCGGGGUAAAGGCCCACCAAGGCGACGAUCCGUAGCUGGUCUGAGAGGAUGACCAGCCACACUGGAACUGAGACACGGUCCAGACUCCUACGGGAGGCAGCAGUGGGGAAUAUUGGACAAAGGGCGCAAGCCUGAUCCAGCCAUACCGCGUGGGUGAAGAAGGCCUUCGGGUUGUAAAGCCCUUUUGUUGGGAAAGAAAAGCAGCAGGUUAAUACCCCGCUGUUCUGACGGUACCCAAAGAAUAAGCACCGGUUAACUUCGUG